rnacentral:rRNA from 1 species
UACGGAGGGUGCAAGCGUUAUCCGGAUUCACUGGGUUUAAAGGGUGCGUAGGUGGGUUGGUAAGUCAGUGGUGAAAUCUCCGAGCUUAACUUGGAAACUGCCAUUGAUACUAUCAGUCUUGAAUAUUGUGGAGGUCAGCGGAAUAUGUCAUGUAGCGGUGAAAUGCUUAGAUAUGACAUAGAACAUCAAUUGCGAAGGCAGCUGGCUACGCAUAUAUUGACACUGAGGCACGAAAAGCGUGGGGAUCAAACAGG